UUUAUUGGAGAGUUUGAUCCUGGCUCAGGACGAACGCUGGCGGCAUGCCUAAUACAUGCAAGUCGAGCGGACUUGAAGAGAAG
rnacentral:rRNA from 1 species